ensembl:lncRNA
GUGAGGAUUGGGCAGGCAGAAAUGAAAAGCUCUUCUGGAAUUAGUCAAUUUCAGAAAAGCGUCUUGUCUAAACUGUCUUGCAGGAAAGUGCCAAGAUCUUGGUUAACCAGAGGAACGAGCUGGGAUGCAGUCUCUCCUCAGCCCCCACGCUUGUGUCCUCUCCAUGGGAAUGGCAUCAGAACAUGGAAAGAUGUGAGGAACCUAAAGAAUCUACAUGAGAGGAUGCCUCCUCAUUUUGGAAACCUUUCAAAAAAUAAUAAGACAAAGACCGUUCUUACUGGCUCAGCAUGGUCCAGGUUGCUGAUGUACGGGGCUCCUGGUGUGAGAAGGAAGGCAGUGUCUGAUGUUAUGUGUGAAGAUAUGACUGAGCAGAAAAUUGAAGGUAUGCUUGAUGUUUUAACUCAGCUUUGAAAUAAUGUUUGAGUUAUGCAAAAUAAUUUGUUUUGUGGCUCCUAAAUGCAGGUAGAAGUGCUCUUUGGUGUAGCUGAGGUAGUGUCUGUUCUAGAGUUCUGUGGAUUUGAUUAAGUGUAGCUUCUCAUGUAAGAAGUGAAAGUGAAGAACUCAUAAGAAUUGAAAGUGAGAAUGUAUCUGUCCAUGGCUUGGACAGAUACACUCUUGGCUGGGUAAGGAACUGGCUGGAGGGCCAGGCCCAGAGAGUGGUGGUGAAUGGAGUUAAAUCCAGAUGGCGACCGGUCACGAGUGGUGUUCCCCCAGGGGUUGGUGCUGGGGCCUGUCCUGUUUAAUAUCUUUAUUGAUGACCUGGAUGAAGGUAUUGAGUGCACCCUCAGUAAGUUUGCAGAUGACACCAAGCUGGCUGGAAGUGUUGAUCUGCCUGAGGGUAGCAAGGCCCUGCAGAGGGAUCUGGAUAGGUUGGAUAGCUGGGCUGAAGCCAGUGGGAUGGGAUUCAACAAGACCAAAUGCUGGGUCCUGCACUUUGGCCACAAUAACCCCAGGCAACACUACAGGCUUGGGGCAGAGUGGCUGGAAGACUGUGUAGAGGAAAUGGACCUGGGGGUGUUGAUUGACGCUAGACUGAACAUGAGCCAGCAGUGUACCCAGGUGGCCAAGAAGGCCAAUGGCAUCCUGGCUUGUAUCAGAAAUAGUGUGGCCAGCAGGAACAGGGAAGUAAUUAUCCCCCUGUACUCAGUACUGGUGAGGCCGCACCUUGAGUACUGUGUUCAGUUUCGGGUCCCUCACUGUAAGAAAGACAUCAAGGCCCUGGAGCG